AUGCAAGUCGAACGGAAAGGCUCCAGCUUGCUGGAGUACUCGAGUGGCGAACGGGUGAGUAACACGUGGGUAAUCUGCCCUGCACUCUGGGAUAAGCCUGGGAAACUGGGUCUAGUACUGGAUAUGACCUUUCUCCUUAUGGGGUUUGGUGGAAAGUUUUUCGGUGUAGGAUGAGCCCGCGGCCUAUCAGCUUGUUGGUGGGGUGAUGGCCUACCAAGGCGACGACGGGUAGCCGGCCUGAGAGGGUGAUCGGCCACAUUGGGACUGAGAUACGGCCCAGACUCCUACGGGAGGCAGCAAUGGGGAAUAUUGCACAAUGGGCGGAAGCCUGAUGCAGCGACGCCGCGUGAGGGAUGACGGCCUUCGGGUUGUAAACCUCUUUCAGCAGGGACGAAGCGUAAGUGACGGUACCUGCAGAAGAAGCACCGGCUAACUACGUGCCAGCAGCCGCGGUAAUACGUAGGGUGCGAGCGUUGUCCGGAAUUACUGGGCGUAAAGAGCUCGUAGGCGGUUUGUCACGUCGUCUGUGAAAUCCUAGGGCUUAACCCUGGACGUGCAGGCGAUACGGGCUGACUUGAGUACUACAGGGGAGACUGGAAUUUCUGGUGUAGCGGUGGAAUGCACAGAUAUCAGGAAGAACACCGAUGGCGAAGGCAGGUCUCUGGGUAGUAACUGACGCUGAGGAGCGAAAGCAUGGGUAGCGAACAGGAUUAGAUACCCUGGMUAGUCCAUGCCGUAAACGGUGGGCGCUAGGUGUGGGGUUCCUUUCCACGGGGCUCCGGCGCCGUAGCU
rnacentral:rRNA from 1 species